rnacentral:rRNA from 1 species
AUGGCCCCCGAGCGGCCGCGGCAAAAGCUAUGCAUCUUCCUCCUCGCCGCCUUGGCGUGCUCGCUGCGCGCAGGCGCCGCCGCGGCGAACACGUCCACGUCCACCCUGGCCAUCCGGCUCAAGCCGCCAUCGAAGCCGAGGCACGGCAGCACGAGGCAGCACCGACCGGGUCCGCGAGGGAGCCACGCCGGCAGCGGGAUGGCGUCAUGCAACAUGUUCCAGGGCAGCUGGGUGUACGACGAUGCGCUGCCGAUGUACGACGCGGCGGGCUGCCCCUUCGUGGAGCCGGAGUUCGACUGCCAGAAGUACGGCCGCCCCGACAAGCUCUACCUCAAGUACCGGUGGCGCCCCGCCUCCUGCGAGCUCCCGAGGUUCGACGGGCGGGACUUGCUGAGCAGAUGGAAGGGAAAGAAGGUACUGUUCGUGGGGGACUCCAUCAGCCUGAACCAAUGGGAGUCGCUGGUGUGCAUGCUGCACGCGGCCGCCCCGUCCUCCAGGACCAGCUACAGCAGGGGCAACCCCGUCUCCACCGUCACGUUCCAGGACUACGGGCUGUCGGUGGCGUACUACCGGAGCACCUACCUGGUGGACAUCGUCGAGGAGUCCAUCGGCCGGGUGCUGAAGCUCGACUCCAUCUCCGGCGACGCGUGGCUCGGCACCGACAUGCUCGUCUUCAACACUUGGCACUGGUGGACCCACACCGGCAAGGACCAACCAUGGGACUAUGUGCAAGAUGGGGCUCAGGUCAUGAAGGACAUGGACCGGCUCACGGCCUUCUCCAAGGGGAUGUCCACGUGGGCCAGAUGGGUGGACUCAAACGUGGACACCUCCAAGACCAAGGUCUAUUUCCAGGGCAUCUCUCCGACACACUUCAAUGGAGCGCAGUGGGGGGAGAGCUCGAGCAGCUGCGCACACCAGACGCAGCCGAUCGCGGGGCCGACGUACCCGGGCGGGCCGCUUCCGGCGCAGGGCGCGGUGCGGAACGCGCUCGGCGGCAUGUCGAAGCCGGUGUUCCUGUUGGACAUCACGCUGCUGUCGCAGCUGAGGAGGGACGCGCACCCGUCGGCGUACAGCGGCGGCCACCCGAGCAACGACUGCAGCCACUGGUGCCUUGCCGGCCUGCCCGACACCUGGAACCAGAUCCUCUAUGCCUCGCUCCUUGCAUAG